GCUGAAUUCAUAAGAUUGACACGUGUUGCUACUUUCAAUUCUUCCACCAUAUCCUGCCAAACCUCUCACCUCUCUUUCGAUCUCAUAGCCAGACCACCGCCAUCACCAUCCCUCCUCCGCCAGUCACAAUAGCGUCUCCCGUCGGUGCCAGCCAAGGCCAUGUUCAGUAUGGCCAUCUUUUGUCUAUGGUUUUCUGCAGGUGCAUUAUUGGAUCCUAGAGACUUCGUUUCUCCCAUUUGUCGUGAUGAUGAAGCUGGUGCAGAUGGUUGAACCCUCCAGUGUUUUCUUUAUCGGUAAAUUAUUGGAUCUGGACACUUGGUUUCUUCCAUUUAUGGUUUGAAGAAGCCGCAGAUGGUUGAUUCUUCAAGCAUUAUCUUUUUGGCUCCUUUUUUUUCCAUACUUAUCAAGACUUAUUCGCUCUAAAUGGACUCCCACUUCUUCUUCUCCAACAAUGUCAUCAAACUUUCUUGGGGGCCAACUAUGAUUGGAUCCAGCAGAAGGAAACCCAGCAACAACAACGUGGGUUACUCUAAUUCUCGAUUGGUGUUUUCUAUCAUGGAUCUGAUUUACUGGUGGUUUAUUGGUUCCUGAAGAUAUGGUUUCUUCCAUUUGUGGUGAUGAAGAAGCUGCGGAUUGUUGACUCUUCGAGUAUUUUGCUUUUGGCUUCUCUUCUUCCAACUUAUAACGACUUCUCUUCUUCCACCACAUCUCCCGAAGGCUGUUUCCACUAUUCUUUCUUCUUGCAGUGAUUCAAAUUGGCGCACUAGAUCUGCCACCUGACAUAUCUACGAACUUUUAUGUACAGGUCCUUUUCUCAUCAGAAUCUUGCUUCUAUCUUCGAUGGCGUCAGUCUACAAAAACUGUGAUAUUGCAACACAUGAAAGCAAGUGGGAAGGAGCAUUCGAUGCCCUAUCAAGUGAUACCAAGGCAACUGUCGAGGAAGGUAUUGUAGUUGUUGGUGGGUGUAUGAUCUACUGGGAAUUGCAUCAAAGGUGAUGGCAUAAUGCCGAGGGAAAAGUAUUCGUUCGACAGCCAUUGAGGUCCAAAUGUCCAAUCACCAUAUGUGGCUUAGGAUGUGAAUCUUCGGAUUCUUAGCAUUUGGGGUUCUAAUAUUAAGAGUGAAGGCUCUGAAAGAGAUGGUAUAGUGAUUAGCGAAGAUUGGGAAGGAUCCAUGCGGCAGAUAAAGGAAUUGAAGGGUGUCAAGUACUAAUAGGAAAGAAACUAAUAUCAAUGACUCAUGGGGGACUUCGGUAUGGUUGAACGAGGAAUUGGAUAAUUGGAUUUGUCAAUUUAUAAUGCAUCUCAUCUUACAUCUACCAAGCAAUAACAGAAAGAAGCUAAUGACUGAAUUUCAUUCAUGAAGAAACUUUAGUAACAUUUAUGUGAGUAUCUUGAUGAAAAGUCCAAACACGGAAACACCAACAAAGUAUGACUUUCGAGGGACCAAAGUGGGUUUCGUGUUGGGUGUUCACAUGAGCUGCAUUGUUAUUUUAGUUAAUAGCUUAUACCUUUUUAAUGUAGGAUAUGAUUCUAAUGUUGGAUAUGGGUGCAAUGUUUUGACAAUACUAAUAUGAAGAUGUUUUGCUAUUCUAGGACUAUUACUUAGCACCAUCAUUGCAGAAGCUUAUUAUUAAAGCAUUUUAUAUGUAAUUUUUAAUUCAUUAUUGACAGU